rnacentral:precursor_RNA from 1 species
GCACAAAAAUAAUACGUCGUCUAGGGGCUUUACCAGGUUUAACUAGUAGAAUACCCAAAUCGAGAUCAAGUUACAUCGAUCGAUCAGCAUCUAGUAAAAAGAUUUCCCAAUACCGUCUUCGUCUGGAAGAAAAGCAGAAAUUACGUUUUCAUCAUGGAUUAACAGAAAGACAGUUACUCAAAUAUGUUUGUAUCGCCAAGAAAGCAAAGGGGUCAACUGGUCAGUUUUUAUUGCAGUUGCUUGAAAUGCGUUUGGAUAAUACAAUUUUUCGUUUAGGUAUGGUUCCUACAAUCCCCGCAGCAAGACAGUUAGUUAAUCAUAGACAUAUUUUAAUAAAUACAAGUAUGGUUGACAUACCAAGUUAUAACUGCAAAAUCGGAGAUAUAAUUACAAUUAAAAAUCGUGGAAGAAACCAAUUAUCGCUUUUAACCGAUACAAUUUCGACCCAGAAACCCGGAAUCCCAAAUCAUUUAACUUUCGACUCAGUAGAUUUUCGCGGAUCAGUUAAUAAAACAAUUGAUCGUGAAGGAAUUGAUUUAAAAAUCAAUGAAUUAUUAGUUGUGGAAUAUUAUUCCCGUCAGGUUUAA